rnacentral:rRNA from 1 species
GUAGGUGGCAAGCGUUGUCCGGAAUUAUUGGGCGUAAAGCGCGCGCAGGCGGUUCUUUAAGUCUGAUGUGAAAGCCCACGGCUCAACCGUGGAGGGUCAUUGGAAACUGGAGAACUUGAGUACAGAAGAGGAAAGCGGAAUUCCACGUGUAGCGGUGAAAUGCGUAGAGAUGUGGAGGAACACCAGUGGCGAAGGCGGCUUUCUGGUCUGUAACUGACGCUGAGGCGCGAAAGCGUGGGGAGCAAACAGGAUUAGAUACCCUGGUAGUCCACGCCGUAAACGAUGAGUGCUAAGUGUUAGGGGGGUUUUCCGCCCCCCUUAGUGCUGCAGCUAACGCAUUUAGCACUCCGCCUGGGAGUACGGCCGCAAGGCUG